GACAGAGGGUGCAAACGUUGUUCGGAAUUACUGGGCGUAAAGCGUGUGUAGGCGGUCUAGUAAGUCGGGUGUGAAAGCCCAGGGCUCAACCCUGGAAGUGCACUCGAUACUGCAAGGCUAGAGUACCGGAGAGGUUGGUGGAAUUCUCGGUGUAGAGGUGAAAUUCGUAGAUAUCGAGAGGAACACCGGUGGCGAAGGCGGCCAACUGGACGAGUACUGACGCUGAGACACGAAAGCGUGGGGAGCAAACAGG
rnacentral:rRNA from 1 species